rnacentral:rRNA from 1 species
GACGAACGCUGGCGGCGUGCCUAAUACAUGCAAGUCGAACGCAGGGGGGACUGGUGAGUAACACGUGGGUAACCUCCCAUCAGAGGGGAUAACACUUGGAAACAGGUGCUAAACCGAUACGGGUGGAUGGACCCGCGGUGCAUUAGCGAGUUGGUGGGGUAACGGCGCACCAAGGCCACGAUGCAUAGCCGACCUGAGAGGGGGACCGGCCAAACGGGAACUGAGACACGGUCCAGACUCCUACGGGAGGCAGCAGUAGGGAAUCUUCGGCAAUGGACGAAAGUCUGACCGAGCCAGGCCGCGUGAGUGAAGAAGGUUUUCGGAUUGUAAAUCACUGUUGUCAGAGAAGCGUUAUCCACACAGAAAGCCACGGCUAACUCCGUGCCAGCCGCCGCGGUAAUUC